GCCUUCGUGGUGCAGUGGUCAGCACGCUCGACGCCUAUUCGAGAGGUCCGUGGUUCAAGUCUCGGCGAGGGCA
rfam:Stegodyphus mimosarum contig57428, whole genome shotgun sequence.